CUCGGGGGACAUGUACCCGCGGCCUGAGCAGUACGGCCAGGUGACCAGCCCGCGCUCCGAGCACUAUGCCGCACCGCAGCUGCACGGCUACGGGCCCAUGAACGUGAACAUGGCCGCGCACCACGGCGCCGGCGCCUUCUUCCGCUACAUGCGCCAACCCAUCAAGCAAGAGCUCAUCUGCAAGUGGAUCGAGCCCGAGCAGCUGGCCAACCCCAAAAAGUCGUGCAACAAAACUUUUAGCACUAUGCACGAGCUGGUCACGCACGUCACCGUGGAGCACGUCGGCGGCCCCGAGCAGAGUAACCACAUCUGCUUCUGGGAGGAGUGUCCGCGCGAGGGCAAGCCCUUCAAAGCCAAAUACAAACUGGUUAACCACAUCCGUGUGCACACGGGCGAGAAGCCCUUCCCCUGCCCCUUCCCUGGCUGUGGCAAGGUCUUCGCGCGCUCCGAGAACUUAAAGAUCCACAAAAGGACACACACAGGUACGGAAAUCGCAGUACGACCCCUACCCGCCCUCUUCUCUCCUCCGGCCUGGGACCCCAAAUUCGAAAGUCCGCGGCCGGGGCCCAUACACCCAGCGUCGGUGGGAUUCUGGCGUUAGGUUCCGGCAGGCAGGCAGCGAAAGUGUGCGCUGGUGGUUAGUUUGGGGCUUGAAAUUAUGGGGAACACACAC